CGGAUCGCAGGCUGCAACCCGCCCUGCGUGAAGUCGGAAUCGCUAGUAAUCGCGGAUCAGCAUGCCGCCGGUGAAUACGUUCCCGGGCCUUGUACACACCGCCCGUCACACCAUGAGAGUCGGGAACACCCGAAGCCUGUGAGCUAACUGUAAAGAGGCAGCAGUCGAAGGUAGAGCCAAUGAUUGGGGUGAAGUCGUAACAAGGUAGC
rnacentral:rRNA from 1 species